rnacentral:tRNA from 1 species
CGCCGGAGUCGUGCCUGAAGCCUAAGGGCCACUUUGAUAGAGUGAACUAUGGGGGUUAAAGUCCCCCCGACUCCU